rnacentral:rRNA from 1 species
GACGAACGCCGGCGGCGCGCCUAACACAUGCAAGUCGAGCGAGAACCGGGGCUUCGGCCCCGGGGACAGCGGCGAACGGGUGAGUAACACGUGGGUAACCUGUCCUCGGCACCGGGAUAGCGCGGGGAAACCCGGAUUAAUACCGGACGGCCUCCGGAGCCUGCGGGCGACGGAGAAAAGGUGGCUUCGGCUUCCGGCUGAGGAGGGGCCUGCGGCGGAUUAGCUUGUUGGCGGGGUAACGGCCCACCAAGGCGACAAUCCGUAGCUGGUCUGAGAGGACGCUCAGCCACACUAGGACUGAGACACGGCCCAGACUCCUACGGGAGGCAGCAGUGGGGAAUCUUGCGCAAGGGGCGAAAGCCUGAUCCAGCGACGCCGCGUGUGUGAAGAAGGCCUGCGGGUUGUAAAGCACUUUCGAUGGGAACGAAAUGUGCCGGGCUAAUACCCCGGCAAGCUGACGUUACUCAAUGAAGAAGCACCGGCUAACUCUGUGCCAGCAGCCGCAGUAAUAC